AAGACACCUAACUACCGCGGGCCUGAAAUGAGGAAGUGCAUACCAAGGUGAACUGAUGCAAGUGCCAGUUCAAACAUCACUUUGGAGCUGUCACAAAGAACCCCCUUGCUCACCUUGCCCAGAGCCAUGAAGCAUUACAAGCAGACACACAGAACUGCAAGUAAGCUGCCUGAACAGAACAAGAGAGAACUAACCACGGCACCUGAAGUUGGGGUGUUAUUUCUUACAAAGAUGGCAAACCUGCCUUAUACAGAGCAGCUAUUCCUCCAUAUAAUGACUGGAGAUCACCAGGGAAAGGAAGAAAAGAAUGGAAGAAAAGAAUGGAAGACAGGGAUUCCACAUAUAAACAACCGCAAGGUUUCUAAAGUACAUGCUGUAAGAAAAGAGAGAUCAAGGGCCAAAAGUCAGGAAGGAGCCUGUCUAAAGGAAAGGGACCCUCUGGAUGCUGGCACAUGGGAGAAGCCAUACCCCCCCCAAAUUUAUAAUAAAUGAAUGUUGGAGUAAAUCUCUUCAUUAACCAGAUAGAGAAAGGAAUUUAUGCUCCAAAGUAAUCACUCGUCUCUUCAGCCACAAAAGCCCCAAAGACUUCGCUUCCUGAACGUUCUGUCUAAUGGGACAGACCUUUGGUGACCUGCUUAACACAAAGAUGACUUCAGCAGGUAGAUUCUACAGAGCUAGCAGCCCAAAGCAAACACACAACAACACUGCCUGGAAACCAGUGGGUGGCCUUGGCUGGUGAAAGCCCGUCCUUCAAGCAACUGAGGCAGGAGCCCAUUAAAGGUGUUAAUUUUACAUGAUGUGGCACGGCAAGUUUAUAAAUAAAUAACAAAUGAACAUUCCCCACGGUUCCUCUCCUCUGAAUUUCUGUGUACCUGCUACAGGCCUGGCAACAGCAGGAGCUGCUCAGAUGCCAGAUCCGGAAUUGCUCUUCAAAAAGUGAGGGGGGGAGGCAUUUCUGUCACCAAGACUUGAUAAGUUUUGACUCUUACAUCACUGGAUCCAGACACCUUUAAAAAAAUAACCAACUAAUCCGUCCUCUGUGGUUGGAUGUGCUCAAUUUAAGAUUAUUAUCAUGAGCUACAAGAACAAAACACAGAUGUUAGAGUUUCAGAAAAAUGUACUGUGGGGGACUAUUAGUAAAAAAUACUGUUUAAAAUAUAUAACAUAUGUAACUAUUAAAUACAUAAAAAUCCCAUGUACCAAGAGGCAAAACAUGAUGAAAGUUGUUGAAUAUUUUAAGUACCUAUAUUGCUGCAUAAAAUGGUUCUGUGCGGUAGAAUUUUCUAUUGCAGGAGAUUUAUGAAAUUUUGUCAAAGUGGUAGAUCAUGCUGAAGUCAGGGGAAAUACUAGCACACUUUAGGUUGCUUUCUAUUUUUAAUUAAGUUUGAAACUGCAUCUUUGCACUUGUGAGUGUGCAUAUAAAUAUAUGUAAGUGCAGAUGUGAUUAACAAUAAUGCUGAUCUAUGCAGACAUUCAAAUUCACUCACAAAAUGACCCCCUCCCAUUACAGAGCAAAUUACUUAAUUGAGGCUGGGUCUGUGUAAUCAGAACAAACUGGAAAGAGAAUGGUCAAAUUUGACCAGCGUGGUUCACUCUCACUUAUUUUAGCAGCCAAAGGAGGCAGGAAUUAAACAAGCCCUAUAGGGUGUUGACCUGGAUUUCCAAUCAGAGAUGAGCCAUGAAGACUAAAUAUUAUGGUGCUUGUCCUGUUUACCCAUGUCCAUAAAGAUGGAGACCACUGAGCUUGGGUGGUUGACUAAAGGCCAUCUAAUGCUUAUUUGGAGGGAAAAGUUUCAAAGGGACCCUUAAGAAUUAACUGGGGUCUAAUUUAUUCAGGAUCCAAACUAUCAAGCUAGUAUUAUCAACAAUGGAGUCAAAGGCAAAUAACCAGAUCAAAUGCACAGCAGUGAAAGUCUACAAUGGAGAAAGCAAAGAAAUAAAGAGAAAUAAACACAACACAAGCAGUAAACUCUAGACAAAACCCGGUUCACCUUAAGCUCUCCUCUAUCUCUGCCCCACCUCCAUUUCUCUGGACCAACCUCUUCCAAUUUCCACUGCACCUGCAGCCUAUAACCUAGCACAUAUAACCUAGCAUGUCAUUAUAUACUUUUCUGUCCUGUUCAUGUUGUUUUAUAUGUAACUGUUCUCAUCCUAACUAGAUUUAAAUUCUAUUUGGAGGUGGUAAUUAUAUCUCAUAUCUGUAUUUCCCUCAGGGCCUAGCACAGCUUUAUGCACAUUAAAAGUUUCAGCAAUUGCUCAUUGGUUUAGUCAAUAUGAAGUCGUUCUUGCUCUCCAGCAAGGAUUGAUAGCAAAUGCCUUCAAUUCUUCCUCCAUCAUAUUGCAUUGACACCUGUUGCAGUGUUCCUACAAAAUCCAUAAAUGUAUAUACUAAAAUAUAUGAGGAUAUUUUUCUAUUUAUUAUGCACUUUGUUCUAUAACCUUUUUUACACACCAUACCUAUAGAUUCAACUCAUGCUUUCUAAUAGCUGGUAAAAUUCCAUCGUGUGGUUGUAUCACAAUUAAUUUAGUCAUUUCCCUUGUUGCCAUU